UCUAAUACCGGAUAUGAGCCUGGGAGGCAUCUCCCGGGUUGUAAAGCUCCGGCGGUGAAGGAUGAGCCCGCGGCCUAUCAGCUUGUUGGUGAGGUAAUGGCUCACCAAGGCGACGACGGG
rnacentral:rRNA from 1 species